ACUGGGCCACACAUUUCCCGGGAUCUUGGUGCCCAACUCUGUGCUUCUGAAGCCCAUCAUCCUAGAUGAGUUCGGGGCAGUAUUACAACCAAAGAAAGAAAUUUGCUGAUGACAGGAACAUGGUUCUCCCAGGAAUAAACAUGAACAGAAAUCCAGACUUCAGCCUAGAAGCCAAGCUCCAUGAGGGCAGGAACUCUGACUGCUUUGUUCACAACCGUAUUCUCAAUGCCUGGUACCUGCCUCACACAGAAAGAAAGCCAUGUGGAUAGUUGAGAUCUUCUAUGAAGAAAGAAAGGAAAAGAGAAGAGGUCCCAGAUCCAAAGCCUGAAGAAAAUCAACGUUUAGAAUUUUGAUUGUGGAGGAAGGACCAACAAAAUGCAAGAAGCAGGUUUCCAAUCGCUAGCACCUACAACUCUCUGAGCGUUUUGAUUUGUUUUUGACCAGCUGAGCCCACAUGACCUCUUGUGGGGCAGAGAGAAGUGCUGGGGAAGUAAUGCCUCCUUCCAGUAAAGCUCAGUCAGUGACUGACAACCAGGGAUUUUGUUGACCAGAAGCCAGGGACAGCUGUCUUCCUGUAAUGCCCCAUGGCGACGCCCACAGGAAAUUUUCCCUUCAGUGUUCAACCCACUAAAAGGUGUGAAAGGAUGUGCAGUCAUUUAGCAUCCUUGACAUCUAGGAUUUGACUGAAAGGUUUUAUGGAGAGAAACCCAUGGAUCCUGGAAGUUCUUGAAGAUGGAAAGUCCAAGAUCCAGGUGCCAGCUGAUUCAGUUUCUGGCUGCACUGCGUGGCUUGCGGGAUCUUAGUUCCCUGACCAGAGAUUGAACCCGGGCCUUCAGCAGUGAAAGCACGGAGUCCUAACCACUGGACCACCAGGGGAUUCCCCAAAAGUUCAAGGCAUUGUAGGGCAUAGAUACAAAGAUGAAUGAGACAUGGAUUCUGCCCUCAUGUAUGUACCUGGUGAAGAAGAUGAGGCAUGAGCCCAACACACCAUGUCAUACUGCCCAAAGGAGAACCCGGGACCGUGGAAGGAGAGAACACCUUCAGCCAGGAAUGACCAGUAAAAGCUUCAAGGAAGAAAUGGGCUACUUAGGAAACAAGUCCAUUUUUUUAACUUGUUCAAGCUGAGACAGAAUUGAAGUAUCUGAAAUACAUAUUUCUGAUUUUUCACUCUAGAAUGUUCAUCUUGGCUUUGGGGAAAUAGUUCAACCUCUUUGCUCUUUAUCUAGAUCUCUAAUACUCAGAUUCAUACAGAUUUGAGUAACAUUUAUUGAGUGCUUGGUAGGUGCCAUGCAUUUUCACACACAAUAUUUCAUUUAAUCCUCACAACAAGCCUGAGAGACAGAUAUCAUCAUCCCCAUCCUUGAAGAUGAGAAGACAGAUCCAGAGGGACAACCUGCCUAGGGCUGCACAGAUAGGAAGCAUAACUAAAAUCCAGGAUUCUAAUUCCACUUUUAGUAUUCUUAAAGUUAUACCUGUAUCUGCAUGGUACUUUUCUUAAACUUUUCAAAGGAUUUCCCCAGUUCAGAAACCCUCUGUGGUUCCCAGUCACUACAGGAUAAGACUGAUAAUGAAAGUCCUUACACUACCAUUUCCCUUUCUCUACAAUCCAGUCUUUGUUUUCCUUCAACUUUGUCUUCCAUUCACAAGACUGCAUCUGAACCCUCUUCUGGUGUCUGGGAAGUUGCCUUCCUCAUGAAGCAGAGCCCACCUCUCACAAUGGAAAUCCAAAGUCCAUGCGGUCAUUCUUCCAGCCUCCCUAUCAGUUAGAGCUGUGCUGUCAUAUAUGAUAGCCACUAGCCACAUGUAGCUACGGAGCACAUGAAAUGCAGUAGCGUCACAGGUUGAAAUGAUAAUAUUUUGGAUAUAUUGGCUUAAAUAAAAUAUGUUGUUGAAAUUAA